UACGUAGGUGGUAAGCGUUGUCCGGAAUUAUUGGGCGUAAAGCGCGCGCAGGCGGUCCUUUAAGUCUGAUGUGAAAGCCCACGGCUCAACCGUGGAGGGUCAUUGGAAACUGGGGGACUUGAGUACAGAAGAGAAGAGUGGAAUUCCACGUGUAGCGGUGAAAUGCGUAGAGAUGUGGAGGAACACCAGUGGCGAAGGCGACUCUUGGUCUGUAACUGACGCUGAGGCGCGAAAGCGUGGGGAGCAAACAGG
rnacentral:rRNA from 1 species